rnacentral:sRNA from 1 species
AUCUCUGCAAGGAGAAACACCUUUUUAGAUCUUUUAGAUGCUGCUUCUUCAAUGCAAGGAAAGGAAAUAACCCCAGCGAGGUACUCUUCAGGGACACAGGUCUAGUACAAGAGAACUCUUGACGGCUACUAAGUUCAGCCAGUCUUAAAAAACUGUGCUGUUUCUACAAAACUUUAACUACAGUAGUUUAUAAGGAUGCCAACGAAAGCUGAGGGUGUAGAGCAAAAUAGUUCUAAGCUUCAGUUAAACUUCUUUAGGUAAGAUCUUAUUUACUUUUCCUUUCUUAAUUUUCCUCCCUAAAAGAUAAACUAAUACUCUUAAAUGGUCUUUCAGUAUAGUGGUUCUUACGUAGUUUAACAUAGCUAUAAAUUGAGUUUAACAAUUUAUAAACUCAAGAGAAUAAUUUUUAUAAACCCUGUCUUCCAAUCUGUCAUUUACUUAAAUUAUUUUGGUUGUUUUUCCCUUUUUUUCCUUCUUUUCCCACCCCCUCCCCCUCCAUGUGAAGAUUUGGGUGCUUAACAUAUCAUUUUUUUCCCUGCUGGAAUUUUAGCAUUGAUAUGAACCAUGGACAAGUAUAUUCUGCUGCCACAAAGACUGUAAAGUGCUUCAUUUCAACAGCUGAGGCAAGCCAAGUGAUCAUUAAUAAAGCUUUUCUUGGUUCCUUCAGUGGUGUUGGUAGUAAAAUGGAAGGUGUCUUGCUGCAGGUAACUAAUGAAGAAGUGGUCAACCACAGAGUCUUCAAGAAAUAAGAAAUUCUGUACCAUCUGAAAGUAGUUCUUGUUGGUGCCUUCAUUUAAAAAGCACUCUUUAAAAUAAAAGGGAAAUGUUUUCUGAUAAAACAAACAUUUAGUUGAGGUUCUUGAUAUAAAACAAUUACAAAAUGAGUGUUGUUUGUAAAACAGUAACAUCAAAUUGGCUAGAGAGAUAAAUGUAUCAUGUUUUAAAUUAGGUUUUGUGAGUAGACAGAUUACAAUUCUAUUUUAAAUAUAAAGUUUAUAAAAUAAAUACUUUUUGUAUCCAAAUAUUUGGUGUAAUGUUUACACAUAAAAUGUGUGAAUCUUGUUCUAUAAACAUUCGGUUGUCUAAAAGAUCACCAUCCCCCAAAUUUUUUAAAGCAGUUUCACAAAGCUAUGCAUAUUUUCUUUUAAUAUUAACAGAUAAAUGAGAAGAGCAUUGUGGACAUUAUUGGCUGUCCCCAAUAAAAUGCUGUUCAUUAUGCACUGUA